rnacentral:misc_RNA from 1 species
GGUUUCCGCAAACGUUCUUUGGGUGUUGUUCAAUUUGAUACUACAAAGAACCGAUAUUUGGCUGCUGGUGAUGAUUUCUCUAUCAAGUUUUGGGAUAUGGACAAUAUUCAAAAUUUGACAUCAAUUGAUGCUGAUGGAGGUCUUCCAGCAAGCCCACGUAUCCGCUUCAACAAAGAUGGCACUCUCUUGGCAGUUUCUGCCAAUGAGAAUGGUAUUAAAAUAUUGGCAAAUUCGGAUGGUCUUAGAUUGUUGCGUUCGUUUGAGAAUCUUUCUUAUGAUGCCUCACGAGCAUCUGAAACUGUUACAAAGCCCAUAAUUAACCCAAUCUCAGCAGCAGCAGCAGCGGCGGCGGCAGCUGCAGCUGCAACUAGUUCUGGACUUGCAGAUAGAAGUGCUUCUGUGGUUACUAUUCCAGGAAUGAAUGGAGAUGCUCGGAACUUGGGAGAUGUGAAACCUAGAAUAACUGAAGAAGCCAAUGACAAGUCGAAGAUAUGGAAACUCACUGAAAUUAAUGAACCAUCUCAAUG